rnacentral:rRNA from 1 species
GACGAACGCUGGCGGCGUGCCUAAUACAUGCAAGUAGAACGCACAGUUUAUACCGUAGCUUGCUACACCAUAGACUGUGAGUUGCGAACGGGUGAGUAACGCGUAGGUAACCUGCCUGGUAGCGGGGGAUAACUAUUGGAAACGAUAGCUAAUACCGCAUAAUAUUGAUUAUUGCAUGAUAAUUAAUUGAAAGGAGCAAUUGCACCACUACCAGAUGGACCUGCGUUGUAUUAGCUAGUAGGUGAGGUAACGGGUCACCUAGGCGACGAUACAUAGGCGACCUGAGAGGGUGAUAGGCCACCCUGGGACUGAGACACGGCCCAGACUCCUACGGGAGGGAGCAGUAGGGAACCUUCGGCAAUGGACGCAAGUCUGACCGAGCAACGCCGCGUGAGUGCAGGAGGUUUUCGGUUCGUAAAGCUCUGUUGUAAGAGAAGAACGGGUGUGAGAGUGGAAAGUUCACACUGUGACGGUAUCUUACCAGAAAGGGACGGCUAACUACGUG